AAAUUGAAGAGUUUGAUCAUGGCUCAGAUUGAACGCUGGCGGCAGGCCUAACACAUGCAAGUCGAACGGUAACAGGAAGCAGCUUGCUGCUUUGCUGACGAGUGGCGGACGGGUGAGUAAUGUCUGGGAAACUGCCUGAUGGAGGGGGAUAACUACUGGAAACGGUGGCUAAUACCGCAUAACGUCGCAAGACCAAAGAGGGGGACCUUCGGGCCUCUUGCCAUCAGAUGUGCCCAGAUGGGAUUAGCUAGUUGGUGAGGUAACGGCUCACCAAGGCGACGAUCCCUAGCUGGUCUGAGA
rnacentral:rRNA from 1 species